UACGUAGGGUGCAAGCGUUGUCCGGAAUUAUUGGGCGUAAAGGGCGCGUAGGCGAUUUGAAAAGUCUUGUGUGAAAGCCCCGAGCUUAACUCGGGAAGUGCACAAGAAACUGUUGAAUUUGAGUUCCGGAGAGGAAGGCAGAAUUCCCAGUGUAGCGGUGAAAUGCGUAGAUAUCGGGAGGAAUACCAGUGGCGAAGGCGGCCUUCUGGACGGAUACUGACGCUGAGGCGCGAAAGCCAGGGGAGCAAACGGG
rnacentral:rRNA from 1 species